CUUAGCCUUUCUCCUCCCCCCCUGGAAGCAACUAGAAUGCUGAGAAGACGACGCUCAUUUGAGAAGAUUGGUCCAGGCUUAAGGGGAAGCCUGUGUAUCAAGAAUUGUAACAUGCAUUGAGAUAAGAACAAGCUCAGGUGAGAACCUCUCUGUUUUUCUGGACCACUCCACUCUGACACUGCAGUAUGGUGGUAGGAUCUCCAGUGCUUUAAUUAUGACAUAAAAAGGCCUUCUUGUGACAGCAGGGAGUCCUUCAGUGAACAACAGGUACUCAUGUGGACUUUGAAGUGACCCAUUUCCUAAGCAUCACUGGUAAUUAUUCACACAG